AGAGUUUGAUCAUGGCUCAGAGUGAACGCUGGCGGCAGGCCUAAUACAUGGCAAGUCGAACGGCAGCACAGCAGAGCUUGCUCUGUGGGUGGCGAGUGGCGGACGGGUGAGGAAUACGUGGAAUCUGCCCAGUCGUGGGGGAUAACGUAGGGAAACUUACGCUAAUACCGCAUGCGCCCUUCGGGGGAAAGCCGGGACCUUCGGGCCUGGCGCGAUUGGAUGAGCCCACGUCGGAUUAGCUAGUUGGCGGGGUAAAGGCCCACCAAGGCGAUGAUCCGUAGCUGGUCUGAGAGGAUGAUCAGCCACACUGGAACUGAGACACGGUCCAGACUCCUACGGGAGGCAGCAGUAGGGAAUAUUUGGACAAUGGGCGCAAGCCUGAUCCAGCCAUGCCGCGUGAGUGAAGAAGGCCCUCGGGUUGUAAAGCUCUUUUGUCCGGAAAGAAAAGCGCCGGGUUAAUACCCUGGUGUCCUGACGGUACCGGAAGAAUAAGCACCGGCUAACUUCGUG
rnacentral:rRNA from 1 species